GACGAACGCUGGCGGCGUGCUUAACACAUGCAAGUCGAACGGAAAGGCCCUGCUUUUGUGGGGUGCUCGAGUGGCGAACGGGUGAGUAACACGUGAGUAACCUGCCCUUGACUUUGGGAUAACUUCAGGAAACUGGGGCUAAUACCGGAUAGGAGCUCCUGCUGCAUGGUGGGGGUUGGAAAGUUUCGGCGGUUGGGGAUGGACUCGCGGCUUAUCAGCUUGUUGGUGGGGUAGUGGCUUACCAAGGCUUUGACGGGUAGCCGGCCUGAGAGGGUGACCGGCCACAAUGGGACUGAGAUAGGGCCCAGACUGCUACGGGAGGCAGCAGUGGGGAAUAUUGCACAAUGGGCGGAAGCCUGAGGCAGCAACGCCGCGUGCGGGAUGACGGCCUUCGGGUUGUAAACCGCUUUCGCCUGUGACGAAGCGUGAGUGACGGUAAUGGGUAAAGAAGCACCGGCUAACUACGUG
rnacentral:rRNA from 1 species